GCAGUACUUGAUUAUGGUAUGUGGGACCAGGUGCGAGUGGAUCAUGGCAAGGAGUUUUAUUUGACGCUCUUCAUGCAGGAGCUUCUGUCAUCUCACCGCCACAAUCAGGAGUGAAUGCCUUAUCUUCAGACUUCAUCCACACAGAAUCAUGUAGUUGGACGAAUCUGGCCAGAAGUCAACAAUCGUGUCAAAUAUCCACUGAAGACAAGACAGCUCUUCUGCAGUUGGUGGAUCAAGAGGAAAUAGACAUGAAUGACAGUCUUGUGCGAUAUUGCGUGUCCAACCUGACUGGCCGCUUAUGUGAGAUUGGUCUUACAAGGCUGGUGAAGUCAUGGAAUGCUCAUCACAUUCCAGAUAAAGGUAUACCAAAUAACUUGGCUAGCUGUGGGUGUCCCAGAAAAAUCCCACAGGAGCUGUUGCCUCAUUCGGGUAAAGCAGCAGACCUUUACAAUCUGCAGUUUGGAACCUCACUGACGAGACAUUCAACUUUUGGAGUUGAUCCAUUUUCAACUGAACAGGAGAAGAUUACAGUUGAGCACCAGUUUGCUGAACAAUAUUCAGAUAUCUCCAACUUAUUGUCUCGAGCAGUGAACAAUGAUUUUGCUCCCUACAAACAGGUAUUGCUCUGUCUUAUAACAACAACUCAGCGCAAUGCGUGAAAAGCCAGUAGCUCUAUUUAACUUAGAGACUGUAAAUUUGUAAUAAGAACAAUAAACAUUUAUAUGACAUUAAA